rnacentral:rRNA from 1 species
CGCGUAGGUGGCGGAGUAAGCGUGCGGUGAAAGCUCGGGGCUCAACCCCGAGUCGGCCGUGCGAACUACUCGGCUCGAGCACUGUAGAGGCAGGCGGAAUUCCGGGUGUAGCGGUGGAAUGCGUAGAGAUCCGGAAGAACACCGGUGGCGAAGGCGGCCUGCUGGGCAGUUGCUGACACUGAGGCGCGACAGCGUGGGGAGCAAACA